AACUGUUCAGUUAAAUCAAGCCAGUCCAUCAUUUCAACAACAGAAUUAUGCACUUACAAUUGAUGAAACUUAUACACCUGGAACAAAUGUUAUUAGUGUACCGGCCACUGAUGCUGAUACUGUUGGUAAUUUUGGUAGUAUCACCUAUGAUGUGGUUGGAGAAGGAUUUGGGCCUGUUUUCUUUGACUUUAGAUCACCAUCUGACAGUCAAAUUGUUGUUCGUGAUACACUCACAAAGGACACUUCUGAAUCUUAUAAUCUUCUUGUUACGGCCACAGAUGGAGGAGGUCUAUCCACCACAGCUACAGUAUCUAUUAGAGUCAACAGGAAUAGAUUCUCACCAGUUUUUGUGGGUAGUCUAACCCAGGCUACAACCAUAGCAGAAAACUAUCCUUUAGGACAGUCUGUAUUGCAAGUUUCAGCACAGGAUCAGGAUUUAAUUUCUCCAUAUAACCGGGUUUCCUAUCUUAUUAUUGGAACUAGUCAAGCGUCAGAAUAUUUCACUGUAUCUGAUUCUGGUGUUAUUAGUCUUAUCAAAUCACCAGCUGGCACAGGCAUUGCAAGUUUUCAGGUAACUGUACGGGCUCAAGAUGGUGUUCCAGCUAAUUCACAGAUACUUAGAAGAUUCUCUGAAAACAACGCAGUGCUGACUGUUAAUAUAUUAAGAAAUAGAUUUCC